rnacentral:rRNA from 1 species
GACCUCAAUCAGGUAGGACUACCCGCUGACUA